CCUGGCUCAGGAUGAACGCUAGCGACAGGCCUAACACAUGCAAGUCGAGGGGCAGCACAAGGAGCAAUCUGAGGUGGCGACCGGCGCACGGGUGAGUAACACGUAUGCAACCUGCCUGUAAGCGGGGAAUAACCCGUUGAAAGACGGACUAAUACCGCAUAAUACUAAAUUACUGCAUGGUAAUUUAUUUAAACAUUUAUGGCUUACAGAUGGGCAUGCGCAUGAUUAGCUAGUUGGAGAGGUAACGGCUCCCCAAGGCAACGAUCAUUAGGGGUUCUGAGAGGAAGGUCCCCCCACACUGGUACUGAGACACGGACCAGACUCCUACGGGAGGCAGCAGUGAGGAAUAUUGGUCAAUGGACGAGAGUCUGAACCAGCCAAGUCGCGUGCAGGAAGAAUGUCCUAUGGAUUGUAAACUGCUUUUGCAGGGGAAUAAAGUGCAUCACGUGUGAUGUUUUGUAUGUACUCUGCGAAUAAGGAUCGGCUAACUCCGUGCCAGCCGCGGC
rnacentral:rRNA from 1 species